rnacentral:rRNA from 1 species
CCUACGGGGGGCAGCAGUCGGGAAUCGUUCACAAUGGGGGAAACCCUGAUGGUGCGACGCCGCGUGGGGGAAUGAAGGUCUUCGGAUUGUAAACCCCUGUCAUGUGGGAGCAAAUUAAAAAGAUAGUACCACAAGAGGAAGAGACGGCUAACUCUGUGCCAGCAGCCGCGGUAAUACAGAGGUCUCAAGCGUUGUUCGGAAUCACUGGGCGUAAAGCGUGCGUAGGCUGUUUCGUAAGUCGUGUGUGAAAGGCGCGGGCUCAACCCGCGGACGGCACAUGAUACUGCGGCUCGAAAGGGUG